CACGUAGGGCGCAAGCGUUGUCCGGAAUUAUUGGGCGUAAAGCGCACGUAGGCGGCUUUGCAAGUCGGAUGUGAAAUCCCUCGGCUUAACCAAGGAAGUGCAUCCGAAACUGCAGAGCUUGAGUACUUAAGAGGAUCGCGGAAUUCCCGGUGUAGAGGUGAAAUUCGUAGAUAUCGGGAGGAACACCAGUGGCGAAGGCGGCGAUCUGGGAAGAUACUGACGCUGAGGUGCGAAAGCGUGGGGAGCAAACAGG
rnacentral:rRNA from 1 species